CGGGCGACGCGCCGGUCUAAGUCCCUUGGAACGGGGCGUCACAGAGGGUGAGAAUCCCGUAUGUGACCGGUGACCGAGCCCANGUGAAACCCCUUCGACGAGUCGAGUUGUUUGGGAAUGCAGCUCAAAAUGGGUGGUAAAUUUCAUCUAAAGCUAAAUACCGGCCAGAGACCGAUAGCGCACAAGUAGAGUGAUCGAAAGAUGAAAAGCACUUUGGAAAGAGAGUCAAAAAGUACGUGAAAUUGUUGAAAGGGAAGCGCUUGCAACCAGACCUGNCCGCGGGUGAUCAGCCGUCCUUCGGGGCGGUGUACUCGCCCGUGAACAGGCCAGCAUCGGUUCGGGCGGUCGGAUAAAGGCCUUGGGAACGUAGCUCCUCUCGGGGAGUGUUAUAGCCCUCGGUGCAAUGCGGCCUGCCCGGACCGAGGACCGCGCUUCGGCUAGGAUGCUGGCGUAAUGGUUGUAAGCGGCCCGUCUUGAAACACGGACCAAGGAGUCGACCAACUAUGCGAGUGUUUGGGUGUCAAACCCACACGCGCAAUGAAAGUGAACGGAGGUGGGAACCCCUCGCGGGGCGCACCAUCGACCGAUCCAGAUGUCUUCGGAUGGAUUUGAGUACGAGCAUAGCUGGUCGGACCCGAAAGAUGGUGAACUAUGCCUGAAUAGGGUGAAGCCAGAGGAAACUCUGGUGGAGGCUCGCAGCGGUUCUGACGUGCAAAUCGAUCGUCAAAUUUGGGCAUAGGGCGAAAGACUAAUC
rnacentral:rRNA from 2 species